rnacentral:lncRNA from 1 species
CCUGGCCUCAUGCAAGAGGAUCCUCAGUUGUUGAAGGAUUUUAAUAACCUAGGCCAUCCAAGACAGACGUGAAGACACCCAGAAGCAAAGACACCCAGAAGCCAAGGAAACACAGCACCAGGAACUUAACAAUGGCAAUGCUAAGGACAGCUCUCCUCAUGAUGUUUGUGACAGCAGCACUGUCAAAAUCAUUUGGUUGGCGCAGACAAGAAUCCUCUGAAUCCAGCGAAUCUAAGGACAACAUUUACACGCUUGAUAGGCAGGGUGAGAAGGACAGCAGAGCGUGGUCCAGCAUGCAAUCCAGUUUUGAGUCUGGUUCAAACUCGGAGUCUGGUUCAAACUCACAUUCUGGUUCAAACUCAGAUUCUGGUUCAAACUCGGAUUCUGGUUCAAACUCAGAUUCUGGUUCAAACUCGGAUUCUGGUUCAAACUCGGAAUCAGAUUCAGAUUCGGACUCAGAUGAGGUUGUGAGUACCACAAGGUCACCAAUCACCGCGGAAACAGCUGCAAGUACUACUGUGAUAACCACAACUGCAGACACUGUGACAACAACUGCAGACACUGUGACAACCACUGCGGACACUGUGACAACAACUGCGGACACUCUGACAACAACUGCAAACACUGUGACAACAACUGCAGACACUGUGACAGAAACAACUGCAGACACUGUGACAGGAACAACUGCAGACACUGUGACAAGAACAACUGCGGACACUGUGACAGCAAUAACUGAAAAUAAUAUCACAAACUGUGUAACUCUGGAUAUUACAACAAAGGGCAGAGGAGACAAUUAAGUUAUAACACUUAAACACUGUGCCAGUCUAUGUUGCAUUUUGUGGCAUAUUCCUGAGUAAUACUGUUCAUGAGCAGAGUGGAUUGCAUGUUAUAUGUUGUUUAUUCUGUAUGCUUUUACAGAAAUUAAUUCUGUGCUUCCUUGUUUUGAUUUAUCAUGUAUAUAUGUAAGCAGCUGUACUUAAAUUAAUAAAGCCAU